rnacentral:rRNA from 1 species
GAUGAACGCUGGCGGCGUGCUUAACACAUGCAAGUCGAACGAGAAGUGAAGACGGAAACCUUCGGGCGGAAGGCUUUAUUUCGAGUGGCGGACUGGUGAGUAACGCGUGGGUAACCUGCCUCAUACAGGGGGAUAACAGUUGGAAACGACUGUUAAUACCGCAUAAGACCACAGCACCGCAUGGUGCGGGGGUAAAAACUCCGGUGGUAUGAAAUGGACCCGCGUUCGAUUAGCCAGUUGGCGGGGUAACGGCCCACCAAAGCGACGAUCGAUAGCCGAUCUGAGAGGAUGACCGGUCACAUUGGGACUGCGACACGGCCCAAACUCCUACGGGAGGCAGCAGUAGGGAAUAUUGCACGAUGAGGGAAAACCUGAUGCAGCGACGCCGCGUGAGUGAAGCAGUAUUUCGGUAUGUAAAGCUCUAUCAGACGGGAAGAAAAUGACGGUACCUGAGUAAGAAGCACCGGCUAACUACGUG